ACAGGUUCUCCUUUGGGUUUGAUGUUGGGGAAGGAUGAGUAAUGUCUGUACAAACUGCCUGAUGCAUGUUCAUAACUACUGGAAACGGUAGCUAAUACCGCAUAUCGUCGCAUGACCCAAGUGGGGGACCUUCGGCCUCAUGCCAUCAGAUGUGCCCAGAUGGGAUUAGCUAGUAGGUGAGGUAAUGUCUCACCUAGGCGACGAUCCCUAGCUGGUCUGAGAGGUUGACCAGCCACACUGGAACUGAGACACGCUCCAGACUCUUACGGGAGGCAGCAGUGGGGAAUAUUGCACAAU
rnacentral:rRNA from 1 species